GACGAACCGUGCGAACGUUAUUCGGAAUCAUUGGGCUUAAAGGGCGCGUAGGCGGCGGUGUAAGUUGGAAGUGAAAUCCCAUCGGCUCAACCGUGGAAUCGCUCCCAGUACUGCAUUGCUCGAGGGGGAUAGGGGUCCGCGGAACUACCGGUGGAGCGGUGAAAUGUGUUGAUAUCGGUGGGAACGCCAGUGGCGAAAGCGGCGGACUUGACCCUUCCUGACGCUGAGGCGCGAAAGCUAGGGGAGCAAACGGG
rnacentral:rRNA from 1 species